rnacentral:rRNA from 1 species
GAUCCUGGCUCAGGAUGAACGCUGGCGGCGUGCUUAACACAUGCAAGUCGAACGGGAAACCUAUUAUUGAAGCUUCGGCAGAUUUAGUUUGUUUCUAGUGGCGGACGGGUGAGUAACGCGUGGGUAACCUGCCCUAUACAGGGGGAUAACAACCAGAAAUGGUUGCUAAUACCGCAUAAGCGCACAGGACCGCAUGGUCCGGUGUGAAAAACUCCGGUGGUAUAGGAUGGACCCGCGUUGGAUUAGCUAGUUGGCAGGG